ACUCUCUCAGCUCUGCAUGGUUACACUUGUUUUCACACGUGUGGCUUUCGUAAUCGGGAGAGAGAGCAAGGAUCUUCUCGGGACCUCAGAUUGGCCUCAUGGUGGCUUAUCUUUCCUUGAGGGGCGCAACAGGC